rnacentral:lncRNA from 1 species
CUCCUCGGCCAAAAUUUCAAGAUUCCCCACGGGUCGAGCCGAUGCCUUCAAGGCAUUCUACAAACGAUGGAACAGAUCCAGCUGGAGUUUGGGGCUUCUGAUGGAUGAAGCCUGGCUGUAUAAACACGGUUGUAAGUACCCCUUUACUCGUUUUGUUUCUUAUUUUUAUUUUUCCUGCUUCAUCCCUUAACUUGUUUGCCUUUGUGCAGUGACAAUCUUCAAACCCGAGGGCGUUGACGACCUCUUCAUCCCUAUCACCGUCACCCCCGGAUUCAUCCGACCCCCAGUGACCGACGACGCUCCCGAGGAGGAUACUAUUCCAAUCACCGAGUUGUCACUGGGGUCGACUUCGGGGCCCGAUCCCCCGACCACACAAAGAGGGGCGCUGAAGAUGAGCCGCGCGGAGAAGGCGGCUUUACUGAAGAAGUCCAAGAAGCCCUCCAAGCCGACCAUCAAAGCGGCUACAGAAGUCCCUCCGCCUUCUCGGCCUAAGCCGACUCUCCCGCCGCCCCCUCCGCCGACCGAAGUGGUCGAG